AGCGAACGCUGGCGGCAGGCCUAACACAUGCAAGUCGAACGAACUCUUCGGAGUUAGUGGCGGACGGGUGAGUAACACGUGGGAACGUGCCUUUAGGUUCGGAAUAACUCAGGGAAACUUGUGCUAAUACCGAAUGUGCCCUUCGGGGGAAAGAUUUAUCGCCUUUAGAGCGGCCCGCGUCUGAUUAGCUAGUUGGUGAGGUAAAGGCUCACCAAGGCGACGAUCAGUAGCUGGUCUGAGAGGAUGAUCAGCCACAUUGGGACUGAGACACGGCCCAAACUCCUACGGGAGGCAGCAGUGGUGAAUCUUGCGCAAUGGGCGAAAGCCUGACGCAGCCAUGCCGCGUGAAUGAUGAAGGUCUUAGGAUUGUAAAAUUCUUUCACCGGGGACGAUAAUGACGGUACCCGGAGAAGAAGCCCCGGCUAACUUCGUG
rnacentral:rRNA from 1 species